UACGUAGGGUGCGAGCGUUAAUCGGAAUUACUGGGCGUAAAGCGUGCGCAGGCGGUUUUGUAAGCCAGAUGUGAAAUCCCCGGGCUUAACCUGGGAAUGGCAUUUGGGACUGCAAGGCUUGAGUGCGGCAGAGGAGACUGGAAUUCCUGGUGUAGCAGUGAAAUGCGUAGAUAUCAGGAGGAACACCGAUGGCGAAGGCAGGUCUCUGGGCUGACACUGACGCUCAUGCACGAAAGCGUGGGAGCGAAACAAACG
rnacentral:rRNA from 1 species